GGCUUUUUAGUUUAAGUAGAACAUUUGAUUUGCACUCAAAAAGCGUAAUAUAUUUCAGAAGCCU
rnacentral:tRNA from 1 species